AGCGAACGCUGGCGGCAAGCUUAACACAUGCAAGUCGAACGAUGUAGCAAUACAUAGUGGCGGACGGGUGCGUAACACGUGGGAAUCUGCCUUUAGGUGGGGGAUAACUCAGGGAAACUUGAGCUAAUACCGCAUGAUAUCUUCGGAUCAAGGAUUUAUCGCCUAAAGAUGAGCCCGCGGCAGAUUAGCUAGUUGGUGGGGUAAUGGCCUACCAAGGCAACGAUCUGUAGCUGGUCUGAGAGGAUGACCAGCCACACUGGGACUGAGACACGGCCCAGACUCCUACGGGAGGCAGCAGUGGGGAAUAUUGGGCAAUGGGCGCAAGCCUGACCCAGCUAUGCCGCGUGAAUGAUGAAGGCCUUAGGGUUGUAAAGUUCCUUUACCAGGGACGAUAAUGACGGUACCUGGAGAAAAAGCUCCGGCUAACUUCGUGCCAGCCGCCGCGGUAA
rnacentral:rRNA from 1 species